rnacentral:rRNA from 1 species
CCUACGGGGGGCAGCAGUGAGGAAUAUUGGUCAAUGGGAGAGAUCCUGAACCAGCCAAGCCGCGUGAGGGAAGACGGCCCUAUGGGUGGUAAACCUCUUUUGUCGGAGAACAAAACCCGGGACGAGUCCCGGACUGCGUGUAUCCGAAGAAAAAGCAUCGGCUAACUCCGUGCCAGCAGCCGCGGUAAUACGGAGGAUGCGAGCGUUAUCCGGAUUUCUUGGGUUAAAAGGGUGCGUAGGUGGUCUGUUAAGUCAGCGGUAAAAUUGCGGGGCUCAACCCCGGCGGGCCGUUGAAACUGGCAGGCUUGAGUUGGCGAGAAGUACGCGGAAUGCGCGGUGUAGCGGUGAAAUGCAUAGAUAUCGCGCAGAACUCCGAUUGCGAAGGCAGCGUACCGGCGCCCGACUGACGCUGAGGCACGAAAGCGUGGGGAUCGAACAGGAUUAGAUACCCGAGUAGUC